rnacentral:rRNA from 1 species
CGGGGUGAGUAAUGUCUGGGAAACUGCCCGAUGGAGGGGGAUAACUACUGGAAACGGUAGCUAAUACCGCAUAACGUCGCAAGACCAAAGAGGGGGACCUUAGGGCCUCUUGCCAUCGGAUGUGCCCAGAUGGGAUUAGCUAGUAGGUGGGGUAAUGGCUCACCUAGGCGACGAUCCCUAGCUGGUCUGAGAGGAUGAUCAGCCACACUGGGACUGAGACACGGCCUAG